UACGUAGGGGGCAAGCGUUGUCCGGAUUUAUUGGGCGUAAAGCGCGUGUAGGCGGCCAGAUAGGUCUGCUGUGAAAACUCGAGGCUCAACCUCGAGAUGUCGGCGGAAACCAUCUGGCUAGAGUCCGGAAGAGGAGAGUGGAAUUCCUGGUGUAGCGGUGAAAUGCGCAGAUAUCAGGAAGAACACCUAUGGCGAAGGCAGCUCUCUGGGACGGUACUGACGCUGAGACGCGAAAGCGUGGGGAGCGAACAGG
rnacentral:rRNA from 1 species